GACGAACGCUGGCGGCGUGCUUAACACAUGCAAGUCGAACGGAAAGGCCCGGCUUUUGUUGGGUGCUCGAGUGGCGAACGGGUGAGUAACACGUGAGUAACCUGCCCUUGACUUUGGGAUAACUUCAGGAAACUGGGGCGAAUACCGGAUAUGAGCUCCUGCUGCAUGGUGGUGGUUGGAAAGUUUCGGCGGUUGGGGAUGGACUCGCGGCUUAUCAGCUUGUUGGUGUGGUAGUGGCUUACCAAGGCUUUGACGGGUAGCCGGCCUGGGAGGGUGACCGGCCACAUUGGGACUGAGAGACGGCCCAGACUCCUACGGGAGGCAGCAGUGGGGAAUAUUGCACAAUGGGCGGAAGCGUGAUGCAGCAACGCCGCGUGCGGGAUGACGGCCUUCGGGUUGUAAACCGCUUUCGAAUGUGACGAAGCGUGAGUGACGGUAAUGGGUAAAGAAGCACCGGCUAACUACGUG
rnacentral:rRNA from 1 species